AGUGAAGACCGGUUAUGUUUUGCCAGUAUAUAUUUAAGAUUGGCAUCAAACUUGUAACGACGAUAUAUAUCAACAUAUUUUAUAUUUUAUGUUUCGUAUUUGUAUUCAAAUCGUUAUUUUAUUAUCAACAUAUAACUAACUUGCGAAAAGAAUCAAAAUAUUAUGUUUACUAUAUGAUAUUAUGAUUUGUGAAAUAUGUAAUAUUAUAUACUAUUGGCAACUGAAUCAUUCAC
rnacentral:lncRNA from 1 species